rnacentral:rRNA from 1 species
AGUGAACGCUGGCGGCGUGCUUAACACACGCAAGUCGAACGAGAACGGAUUAUAGCUUGCUAUAAUUGUCAGCUAAGUGGCGCACGGGUGAGUAAUGUAUAGGUAAUAUGCCUCUUACUAAGGGAUAACAAAUGGAAACGUUUGCUAAUACCUUAUACUCCUUAUUAACAUAAGUUAAUAAGGGAAAGAUUUAUUGGUAAGAGAUUAGCCUGUAUUGUAUCAGUUAGUUGGUGGGGUAAUGGCUUACCAAGACUAUGACACAUAACUGGUUUGAGAGGAUGAUCAGUCACACUGGAACUGAGACACGGUCCAGACUCCUACGGGAGGCAGCAGUGGGGAAUAUUGCACAAUGGACGAAAGUCUGAUGCAGCAACGCCGCGUGGAGGAUGACACAUUUCGGUGCGUAAACUCCUUUUAUAUAAGAAGAUAAUGACGGUAUUAUAUGAAUAAGCACCGGCUAACUCCGUGCCAGCCGCCGCCGUAA